ensembl:processed_transcript
AGUUGUCCAGGUUCUGGCGUCGCUGCGGGUGACGAAACUGAAGUAAGCUAGGUCGACGGACUACCCAAGGCCAGAGAGUGUGGGCGGGAGGCCGUCGGAAUUCUGAGACUUUCUGGGGUGCAGGCAGCACAACGCUGUGCAGUGCGUGGACGGAAGCCAGAUAGCAAUGCUAUGCACCGCUGGGCGGUCCCUAAGUUUCCAUGCCUGGUUGUUCUCAAGGUUUGCUCCGGAUCCGAUAGUCGCCCGUGACCCCUUUCCGCAGGUACAUGGCUUGUCUUGGGUUCGCGGUGGAACAUCCAAGUGCCAAGUUGGGUUGGCAAAACAGCCAAGGUGAAGGAGUUGGAGUCACUGCGGUACUCGUGAGGAACAUCUUUAGAGAACAGUCGGCUCUUCAGAACCAAAGAGCACAGGACUUUCAAGCACCCCACUAGUGUCUCGUGAGUGGCCCGACACUAAAGGGUCCUGAAGCUCUCCGCCCUUUUGAGCUUAUGACAGCGGUUUAUUGUAAGCCCUGGAGGUGCACUACUGCGCAGGCUGCAGGACUCUCCCCAAAGUUUCUCAGUAUGACUACACAAACUUACUUAUGUGCUGCCUUUAGAGGACGUUGCCACAUUGGGCCCCUGGCGACAUUGUGGCAGAUCUUUUUCCUUCCCCACUUCUGCUUUUUCCUGAGUUACUUGUCUUUUACCAUCAUCCCUCUUGGGUUGCACUGAUCAAUUUAGUUCCCUGUCUCCUCCUAGGGCUAUCCAGCAUGUAGUCGGGGGUCUACAAGGGACACAAGGAGAAGUGGGUUUGUUUGUUUGUUUGUUGCUUUUUUGUUUUUUUUUUUUUUGCAGCCUGGCAGCCAGCCUCUGGAGCUCAUCUCACAUAAUGGCCUGCAAAUGUCGUUAUCAGGCACCAGAAAGCCGGGAACUCAUGCGACACUUCGAUGUGAGGUAGUGUUUCAUUUUAUAUCUUGAGGCUUCCAAGGAUACUGGAGACUCAGACAUCAUCUCAUGCUAAGCUGUUUGAGACAAACCACAAGUGAUCCCAGUACUUGGAAGCUGGAGGCAGGCAAUCAGAAUUCCAAGGACUAAAUAGCAAGUUUGAGACUAGCCUGAGAUACAGGAGACCUAGUCUCAGGAAUUAAAAAAAUAAAAUAAAGACAAGCCUUG